AUAAGAAAAUAAUUAUCCUCUAAUACGUUAUAAUAAGUUUAUCAAAUGGAUGCUGUGGGUAGAUAUUUUGUAAAUAAAUACAAACCUGUACCAAGAAAUCAAGGCUUCCUGACCAUAAAAUUAGGUCAUAUGAGAGGUUUGUCAAGUAUUAAAUUAUUCUUCAAAACAUAUGAUAUAAGGAGAGCUAAAGAGUUACAGAAAUAAAGAAAAACAACAAAAUAAGAAUGUAAAACAGGAGUAUCCAGUCGGUUGUCGGAUUAGUGAAAUAACAUUACAUCAUUAUUGUUUUUAAACUUAUACAGUAAAUUACACGUAUUCGGGAUUAAACUUGACUCAAAAAAUAUAAAUGUACAAAUAAUCAGUAAAUAUACAUCAGUAACGGCGAAGAAGUAUUUAAAUACGUAUAUAAAAGAACAUAGAGGGAUGCGCUCCAUCGUUAAGUUCUACAAAUGGCAAUGAACUAUUUAAAAUUUUAUAGCUGCUUUAACCAGGAUUCCAUGUUUUCAAAUGUUACUAAUUAGUGACUUCAUGGUUAUAAGCUCAUCUUUAAAGAUGAAAAGAUACACUGACUUUGAAUUUAUAAAGUAUCAGUUAUACUACAAAGACUGUAAUCUGUAUUUUACUUCAUUUUAAUACGAGUAUGCACCGCCUGCUUUGCUAUAUCAAUACAAAAACGCUGGAGACGUGCGUUCGAUCCUAUCACUUCUGUUAUUUCUUUAUUAUUAUUAUUAUUAUUAUUGUUGUUGUUGUUUUGUCUAUCUCUGAUACAAAAAAGGGCAUAUUCCGUAGAAUGUGUACAUGUAAUCAUUGUAACAUAAAAAUUAUUCACUUGAUGAAGACAGUCAUAUUGCAGGCUAAUCACUGCAAUUUUUUAAUGAGUUCAUAAUAGCAAUUCUAUUCAACAUUAUCUUUUACCACUCUGCAAUUAACGUAUUAAUACAAUACACAGAAUGGCAACAAGAGAUAAUCUCGCGUUUACAAUGCGCAUGCCAAGCGCCUCAGGUCAAAAAUACCCCGCCGCGAUCACAACGUUACUGUUAUUUGUGUCACUUUUAAGCGGAUAAUUAGUGAGAAAGGAGCUUAGGGAUUUAUGCAGGUCGUCUAAACGCAAAAACCGGUCAUGCGGAUAGACAUCAAAAUGUGGAACUGAACUGGUAUUUGAGACUUAAAUCUUCAGAAUAUUACUUCAUAAAAGUGGUGGAAAAUCGAAGUGGAAGUCUUUAGGAAUGGCGAGUAAACAGUUGUGUCUCUUUGGAGAAACGAUGAUACAAUAUUUACGUCUACAUUCAAAUGAUGCUAUUCAAGGUAACACAAUACUCAAAGAAGCUGACAUUUGGCAGUGUGAGAAAGGAAGUCUACUUUUGCACGACAGGAAAAAUGAUAUUUGCAUGCAUAUUUUAUCGGAAGCAGCUGCAAAAACACGGUCAGGAAACUCUUUGAAAUUAUGGUGUGGUAGCCUAUUUUACUGUUUUUGGUCCGCCUUGGUGGGACGAUAUUAAGAUAAGAGUUUUAUAUGAAAAGCUACGAUAAAGUCUGAUGAUCUCGAAUGUGGAAAACAUAGACUUGAUUUAGAAGUUUCCGCUAAGAAAUAAAGCCUCUGCGUUGGACCAGCUGCAAUUUUUUGCCGUCAUCUGAAGAUCUUAUCUUUCAGGAAUAAAUUCGCUGGACCAGCUACUCUGCCUAACUGUGACCUCCAUUUCUCUGUCUCUCCUUCCGGUGCGGCUCAAACUCCGAUGCUCUCGAUCUGAAGUCGAAGGCCCUACGACUGAGCUUUAAUGGCUAACGAUUCCACUUUCUGUGAUGUAAUUUUGUGUAAUAGUAGAGCGAUGUUAGAAUAAGUGUUCACGACGUUGAAUCGACAACGGCCGCAUACUAACGUUUUCUACAAAGCUAAGCUUGUUUAAAUUAAAAUUCGUUUACAAUUCAUGUGCGAAGCCACUACUGCAGACGACAAUUCAUAUUGGAAGACGAAUACACUGCAUAUUACUUCGAGCUGAUACCAACGCGAAGGUAACCACAGGGACAGUUUACUGAGGUAUUGACACACUAAAUAGCUGUAGGCUCUUCUUUUAUUUAUAUGAAAUAGAGGAACUUCCAGCGGCUGCAGCGCAUACUGAGUAAGGCACACACCGGGGACCAUUUGAAAAGACUGUGACUUAGUUACCUUAUCUUGAGGAAUGUUGUCAGUGCAGUAUACAAAUCGGAAGAAUGACUUAUUUUCCAUGACAAGUUAAGAUUUUUUACGACGAAAACGCUACCAACAUUUCAGGGAUAGACCUGUUAAAUAAUUUCAACCAAAACAAUUCAUCAAAAGAACAGAGCCAAAACUGCGAUCUAUUUGAAUCUGUUAUUUUCUACCAUUUUUUUUCGCGCCAUUUUCUUAUUUGUUAAUGUCUGUAUACCCACAGAGUUGCAAGUCUGCACGUUUGAAACAAAUAGUUUUACAAUGCAGAAUUUCAUUGAACCUUUUUCUUAAAAAAAAAAAAAAGAGAAAAAAAAAACAAACAAAAAAACGAAGGAAAUUGAGUUACAAAAAAAAAAGAUAAGAUCGUAUGCUUAAUUUAUUGUACGACCGAUUUUGCCUUGAUUUCUUUUUAAUGUGUCAUUCAUAAAAGUUCGAAAAUUUCCGAUGGUAUAAAAUCAAUAGAUUGUCAGUUUUCAGUUAAAACAUAAGUUUGUUUGUUGGUUUGUGUUGAGCUAGUGUUUCAGUUAUGUAAUGCCAGACAGUUAACCUAACCGGUGUUCAUUGAUUUACAAUCCUGAUCUCCGCAAGUACGCCAACUUCCCCACAUAAACCAGAGGUGCAGGACAAUGAUUUCAGGUACAAUGCAUUUUAUCAGAUCGCCACGGAGAGCACAGGCCUCGCACAAUCGAACUCACGACUCCGCGAUACCUAGAUCUGCGUUCUCCCUAUUUGGGCUAAGCGGGCAGACCUAUUCUACAAAAAUCAAUGGUUUCAUUGUCGCAGCUAAAUACACUGAAUGAUAGAUAUAACUGCACAAGACACAUACUUUUUUUUUUAAAUCUAUAACUGAAAAACGUCGAACGCCAAAAAACAUCGUAGAAGUUGUUUAUUACGGAAAUGAGACUGAUGUUAUAAAACUAAUUCAUUAUUUAACAAUGUUUUGUGGUGUUAAGGUACAUCGACUUUUAUCACAUGUCGUAUUUAAAAGAUAUAAAUGUAGCUGCACUGGUUUUAUUUUACUUGUUAUUGUGUUCUGUACCGAUAUGAUAUAUUUCAUUGUACCAAUAAAGCUGAAUAUUUCAAGUUGA